rfam:Ovis aries breed Texel chromosome 10, whole genome shotgun sequence.
UCCCUGGUGGUCCAGUGGUUAGGACUCAGCCCUUUGACUGCUGGGAACUUGGGUUCCAUCCCUGGUGGGGGAA